CUACCCCAAAUGCACCUGAUCUCAUGUGAUUGCAGAGACUAAGCAGGGUUUGUCCUGUGAGUACGUCGGUGGGAGAAUGCCUAGGAAUACUGAA
rnacentral:rRNA from 1 species